AGGGGCGUAGCUCAAUUUGGUAGAGCGCCGGUCUCCAAAACCGGUGGUUGUCGGUUCGAGUCCGGCCGCCCCUGCCA
rnacentral:tRNA from 1 species